AUCUGUGUGCUAGAAAAGGUGGAUUCUGCUUUCGGUUGCAGCAUGAGGAAAGGAACUAAUUUGCUGUCGGAAAUAAAAGUGUUCAAAUUUCCGAGAGAUCCUGUUCGUCGAGCUCAAUGUAUCCAAUGUUAACCUGCGGGGACAAAGUAAACGUUUUCAAAAAACGUUUACUUUUUGCAUUCACCCUGCCUUGCAGUCGUUGCAAUUUUGUAAAACAGUUGUGUAUUGACAUCUGACAGAACAAGAGGAUUUUGAUCAAUACUGUUCCUUAAAUUGGUCUGCACUCGUUAAAUGUGGAAAUUGACCUUUCAACUGCUGCCAUAGAUACUAGAAGAGUGGCUAGCAUCAAGAGCAGAAUGAAAGUCAUCUUUUGAAAUGGAGCAAUCGGGCUGUAUUCCUUCCAUUUCAACUUCAGUGAGGCUUCACUACUAAAUGGGAAAAAGUAAAUUGAAAGAUUUAAAAUAAAGGCAAAGAGCAAAAAGUUUGAUAAUGCCCUACAAGGUGUAAUUAAUUAAUCACAGCAUGGCAGGAAAUUGACUUAGUUUCGAAGAGAAGAGAUUUUUAAAAACAUGCUACAUUAAUAAGGAUCAACAAAGAAAGUGAAAGGAUUUGAAAAAAGAAGGACUCUAAGCAUCAGUUGUUCAGCUGAUUGUGCAUCUCUAUCUUACUCCACUAAAUAUGGCGGCAGUCUGCUGAUGUGUUGCAAAGACGUUUUCCAGUCAAACCUGUAUUCAACUGUUCAGAAACACAAGACUUCUGCAGGCCAAGUCUAACUUGCUGAACCUCCUUCAGUUAACCCUAAGCAACUUCAUUCACAGCUCUCCAUUGGUUGACUCCCAUUAGCUUUUAAUAGACCUUUGGUGGUUAUAUGAUCAAGCUAUGUGUUAGCCAAUUGCUUCAAGAUACCUUCCAAGAGAAAACUCUGCUCUAUAAGGAAAAUAAAACAUCAAAGUUUUGUGAAAAUGUAUAAUUAAAUUCUAUUAUGUGUAAUUAAAUUCUGUUUUAUAAUA